GUUUUGAUUUGCAAAUGUAUAAUACAAUUCAAUCUGUACAUGCCUAGGGUUGGGAUGGAAGGAGUUAUGUAAACUGACAUUUCAGAAAAUUGACACCACUUACAUCAACAUUGGGUGUCAUUGGAAAAAUGAGACCUGUAACCAGUAUAUCUUACCAAAGUAGUGUAUUGCUGCAGCAAUUAAAUAGAAUUGUUGUGGCUCUAAGUCUGCACCCCCCUACAGUUAUCAGACUUUAAAAAUAGGUUGUUUUUUUCACUUCCUCCUUGACUAUCCAAGACCUGUCCAAUAUCACAAGCAUCUCUUUACCCUGGAGAGAUAGAACUGAAAUCACAGUAAUUGAUUCAGCAAACCAAAGCAAACAGCCCACUUCACAAAACGUAACAAGGCUUUAAACAGCUGCACUAUUAGCUUAUUGAGCAGUUGCACUCAUAUGCAACUACAUAUCCCAUAAACCACUGCAAGUACUACUGAAAGUUUAUUCCAGUCAACUAUUCUUACUGUCAACCUUUAGUAGCUUUGAAUAACAUUAAAACACUUUACACAACAUACCCACAACAACUUACUAUAGGUUAUGGUUGAGCAAGUCUUUGGGUGCUGUCACAGCUUUCAGUCAUAUCAUUUUUAUAGGUUUGACAAAUACUG